rnacentral:rRNA from 1 species
CCUACGGGCGGCAGCAGUGGGGAAUAUUGGGCAAUGGAGGCAACUCUGACCCAGCAACGCCGCGUGAAUGAUGAAGGUCUUCGGAUUGUAAAGUUCUUUUCUAAGGGAAGAAGAAAGUGACGGUACCUUAGGAAUAAGCCUCGGCUAACUACGUGCCAGCAGCCGCGGUAAUACGUAGGAGGCAAGCGUUAUCCGGAAUGACUGGGCGUAAAGGGUGCGUAGGUGGUUUGACAAGUUAGUAGCGCAACUCCGGAGCUCAACUUCGGAACUACUACUAAAACUGUUAGACUAGAGUGCAGGAGGGGUAAGUGGAAUUCCUAGUGUAGCGGUGGAAUGCGUAGAUAUUAGGAGGAACAUCAGGGGCGAAGGCGACUUACUGGACUGUAACUGACACUGAGGCACGAGAGCGUGGGGAGCAAACAGGAUUAGAUACCCUAGUAGUC